UACGUAGGGUCCGAGCGUUGUCCGGAAUUACUGGGCGUAAAGAGCUCGUAGGCGGUCUGUCGCGUCGGCUGUGAAAACUCGGGGCUCAACCCCGAGCCUGCAGUCGAUACGGGCAGACUAGAGUGCGGUAGGGGAGACUGGAAUUCCUGGUGUAGCGGUGAAAUGCGCAGAUAUCAGGAGGAACACCGGUGGCGAAGGCGGGUCUCUGGGCCGUAACUGACGCUGAGGAGCGAAAGCGUGGGGAGCAAACAGG
rnacentral:rRNA from 1 species